AAGAUGGAUCAUUGGGGAGUUUUAAAAGAACUUCUUUGCACCUAAUUAUUCAAGAAAUUGGAUUCAAAUUUAGUAAAAGAUGUCGAAACAGUAUGUUGACUGACAGGGAUGAUAUCUUUUUUUGGCGAAGAAAUUAUUUGAGAGAUAUUGUAAAGGCAAGAGAAGUUGGAAAAAAUAUUUAUUAUUUGGAUGAAACCUGGAUAAAUGAAGGCCAUACAAUGCCCAAAGUUUGGUCUGAUACAACAAUAACCAGCGCACGUGCAGCAUUUAUGUCUGGAUUGUCAACCGGCUUAAAAAAUCCCUCAGGAAAGGGCAAACGACUUAUCAUAACACAUGUUGGGAGUGACUCCAGAAAAAUGGAAGAAAUGUUGCAAACACGUGAUUGACGUUGUGGAACCACAAAUGAAUCAAAUGGACCACAACUUUGAAAAUUUGUCCGAAUCUUUUAUUAUUAAUGUAAAUGAUAGUAGUGAUAAGUCGUCUGAAAGUGAUGAAUAAAAAAUAUUAUUAUGAA